GAUGAACGCUGGCGGCGUGCCUAAUACAUGCAAGUCGAGCGAACGGACGAGAAGCUUGCUUCUCUGAUGUUAGCGGCGGACGGGUGAGUAACACGUGGAUAACCUACCUAUAAGACUGGGAUAACUUCGGGAAACCGGAGCUAAUACCGGAUAAUAUUUUGAACCGCAUGGUUCAAAAGUGAAAGACGGUCUUGCUGUCACUUAUAGAUGGAUCCGCGCUGCAUUAGCUAGUUGGUAAGGUAACGGCUUACCAAGGCAACGAUGCAUAGCCGACCUGAGAGGGUGAUCGGCACCCAUGGAACUGAGACACGGUCCAGACCCCCACGGGGGGCAGCAGGAGGGAACCUUCCGCAAAGGGCGAAAGCCUGACGGGGCAACGCCGGGUGAGUGAAGAAGGUUUUCGGAUUGUAAAACUUUUUUUUUAGGGAAAAACAUUUGUGUAAGUAACUGUCCACCUCUUGACGGUACCUAAACAGAAAGCCACGGCAAACUACGU
rnacentral:rRNA from 1 species